rnacentral:rRNA from 1 species
GAUGAACGCUAGCUACAGGCUUAACACAUGCAAGUCGAGGGGAAACGACAUCGAAAGCUUGCUUUUGAUGGGCGUCGACCGGCGCACGGGUGAGUAACGCGUAUCCAACCUGCCCACCACUUGGGGAUAACCUUGCGAAAGUAAGACUAAUACCCAAUGAUAUCCCACGAAGAUAUCUGAAUGGGAUUAAAGAUUUAUCGGUGAUGGAUGGGGAUGCGUCUGAUUAGCUUGUUGGCGGGGUAACGGCCCACCAAGGCAACGAUCAGUAGGGGUUCUGAGAGGAAGGUCCCCCACAUUGGAACUGAGACACGGUCCAAACUCCUACGGGAGGCAGCAGUGAGGAAGAUGGGUCAAUGGGCGAGAGCCUGAACCAGCCAAGUAGCGUGCAGGAAGACGGCCCUAUGGGUUGUAAACUGCUUUUAUAAGGGAAUAAAGUGGGUCACGUGUGACUUUUUGCAUGUACCUUAUGAAUAAGGACCGGCUAAUUCCGUG